UACAGAGGUCCCAAGCGUUGUUCGGAUUCAUUGGGCGUAAAGGGUGUGUAGGUGGCGCCGUAAGUCGGGUGUGAAAUUUCGGAGCUUAACUCCGAACCUGCAUUCGAUACUGCGGUGCUUGAGGACUGGAGAGGAGACUGGAAUUCAUGGUGUAGCAGUGAAAUGCGUAGAGAUCAUGAGGAAGACCAGUGGCGAAGGCGGGUCUCUGGACAGUUCUGACACUGAGACACGAAGGCCAGGGGAGCAAACGGG
rnacentral:rRNA from 1 species